AUUUAAAAGACAAGGCAUUUGGGAAGUAAAUUGUUUAUUGAACAAGUCAUGUAAGAAUAGCAGGAACACCAGGACUAAUCAAAAUCAUAGCCGUACAACCUAAGUGUCAGCAAUAUUGUCCAAAACAGAAGUACAUUCUAGUCGUAUGGUUUUGAAAACAAUUCAUACCAUUGUAGUGUUCACCCCUGUAAACAAUUUGCAUAACGAUGCACAAGUGAAGGAGAUCCUCAUUUCAAACAAGCGCACAAUUCCUCACCUCAGUUACCUUUGCCCAUUUCUUGAAAUGGAGGCACAGUAACAGGGGAAAGACGAUUAAGGAGUUGGGCAAACCAAAUUAUGAUCUCCCUAUCUAGCUUGUUGAGGGGUCGGGCCGUCUGUUCAAGGUCGGUCGUCGAUCCUGCAGAUGCAUUUUUAGCAGUUGACGAGACAUGGUUGGCAGUUGCUUCAGCUGAGGCGCGGGGGCCGGCCGCUUCUGACGAGACAUGGUUGGGAGUUGCUUCAGCUGAGGCGCGGGGGCCGGCCGCUUCUGCAGAGGCACGGUUGGCAGUUGCUUCUGCCGAGGCGCGGGCCGCUUCUGCAGAGGCACGGUUGGCAGUUGCUUCUGCCGAGGCGCGGGCCGCUUCGGACGAGACAUGGUUGGCAGUUGCUUCAGCUGAGGCGCGGGGCCGG